rnacentral:lncRNA from 10 species
UUUCUCCUAUUAUAUGUUAUUUUGUUUGUUCUUCUGAGUACUUAAUGUAACCUGACAUUACUUUGCAUGUUUCUUUUUGUUUAGCCCUUCUAGCUCUCCCCAAGGGGAAUUUUGCUUUGCCUGGCUGCUUUUUUUCAGCUGUAGUUGAGUAUAUGGAAGUGGGGGAUGCAGAGUUCUCUGGGAGCUCUGUGGCUGAUUUCUGAGCACUGUUAUCAUCUGCUCUUCCUCAGGGACUUUGUUACUUUGAAGCAAUGAAAACAAACUGUGUCUGGGAACUCUACUUUGUGGUACUCUGGGCUGCCUCACACCCGUUUACAAUCCCUCUUUGACUCGUUCCAGCCGUGUCUCAGCCAUGCUCCUGGGAAGCAAAGGAUGCUUGAAGCCCACAUGCAGAGCUACAAGGGCAAUGACCCUCUUGGUGAAUGGGAAAGAUACAUACAGUGGGUAGAAGAGAAUUUUCCUGAGAAUAAAGAAUACUUGAUAACUUUACUAGAACAUUUAAUGAAGGAAUUUUUAGAUAAGAAGAAAUACCACAAUGAC